UUGUCACAUUUAUUAACUAUUGCAAAUAUCAUGUUUUUCUGUAAACAGACACUCUUUUCCGGGCGUUGUUAAUACUCACGAUUGGAAWMGCUCUCCGUUUACCUUGCCUGAUUCUGCUGGGACACCCGGGGGAUUUUCCAAGGCUACGAGCACAGGACUGUGUGGUGGUCAUUGCCAGGCAGUGAUGCUGCAGUAGAAGAUACUCUUUCCUGUGGUUUACCAAUAAACCAGCAGGACACUUUGCUGCUAGCAGCCCUAUACUGCUGAGAAUUGUUUUUCAGAUCGUUGUAGCUCUCACGCACUUUGGACUCAUCUCGUGUGCUUGAUGCGGCUCGUUGCCUCUGGAUGCGCAGCAGGACAGAGGAAGCUGGUGAGCCUCUGACGCCGGUUGUUUUGCAUUUGAACUUUCUAGGUCCCCUCUUACCRUGAGUCUGACAGGCAAGGGCGGCUUCUGGCUGAGAUAUUUCAUAAACUUCUUGCCGAUUUCUUCACAGGUGUCGUAAGAAGGCAUCUGUGUAGAGAUCGUUUGUUGGACCUGGAGCUGGACUGGUYGGUAAAGGACCACAGAAGAUCUGUCCAUGUAGAAAGUGAGUUUAAUUGCUUGCUGCAGGUACCUGAAACUGAAAAUGCUUCUGCUUUGUGCAUGCUGAUACACACACCAUGGCCUCUCUGCCUCUUCAUGCAGAGCGGGUGAGCCAUAGUGAUUUGUGGAGCAGAAAGAACAGCUUCUGUCUUGCAGGGUAUUGGCAUAAAGACUUUGGCACGAGAAAGACACAGGCAGCUMCACUUAUAUAAUUUAGGAAGGAGAUUUCUCUGAGGAGACACAACCAGAUGCUGUGGCUGUUUUCAAGGUAACCUAGUAUAUAUCCCUUACUGUGUUAACU
rnacentral:lncRNA from 1 species